CUCAGAAGGGAGUUUUUUAUUCACACCAUCGCUGCAGCUCUUCAGAUAGUGCUGGUCAUGUUCACACUCUUUCUGAUGUUUGGUGCGCCCUAUCUGAGUU
rnacentral:sRNA from 1 species